rnacentral:rRNA from 1 species
GACGAACGCUGGCGGCGUGCUUAACACAUGCAAGUCGAACGGCAACGCCCUGAUUUUGUGGGGUGCUCGAGUGCCGAUCGGGUGAGUAUCACGUGUGUAACCUGCUCUUGUUUUUGGUAUAACUUCAGGUAACUGGGGCUACUCUCGUACCGGAGCCCCCGUUGCGUGGUGGGCGUUGGAACGUCUCGGCUGUUGGGGAUGGACUCGCGGCUUAUCAGCUUGCUAGUGGGGGAGUGGCUUACCAAGGCUUUGACGGGUAGCCGGCCUGAGAGGGUGACCGGCCACAUUGGGACUGAGAUACGGCCCAGACUGCUACGGGAGGCAGCAGUGGGGAAUAUUGCACAAUGGGCGGAAGCCUGAUGCAGCAACGCCGCGUGCGGGAUGACGGCCUUCGGGUUGAAAACCGCUUUCGCCUGUAACGAAGCGUGAGUGACGGUAAUGGGUAAAGAAGCACCGGCUAACUACGUG